AACGAACGCUGGCGGCAGGCCUAACACAUGCAAGUCGAGCGGACCCUUCGGGGUUAGCGGCGGACGGGUGAGUAACGCGUGGGAAUAUGCCCUUCUCUACGGAAUAGUCCUGGGAAACUGGGGGUAAUACCGUAUACGCCCUUUGGGGGAAAGAUUUAUCGGGGAAGGAUUAGCCCGCGUUGGAUUAGGUAGUUGGUGGGGUAAUGGCCUACCAAGCCGACGAUCCAUAGCUGGUUUGAGAGGAUGAUCAGCCACACUGGGACUGAGACACGGCCCAGACUCCUACGGGAGGCAGCAGUGGGGAAUCUUAGACAAUGGGGGCAACCCUGACCUAGCCAUGCCGCGUGAGUGAUGAAGGCCUUAGGGUUGUAAAGCUCUUUCAGCUGGGAAGAUAAUGACGGUACCAGCAGAAGAAGCCCCGGCUAACUCCGUG
rnacentral:rRNA from 1 species